GACGAACGCUGGCGGCGUGCCUAAUACAUGCAAGUUGAGCGCUGAAGGUUGGUACUUGUACCGACUGGAUGAGCAGCGAACGGGUGAGUAACGCGUGGGGAAUCUGCCUUUGAGCGGGGGACAACAUUUGGAAACGAAUGCUAAUACCGCAUAAAAACUUUAAACACAAGUUUUAAGUUUGAAAGAUGCAAUUGCAUCACUCAAGGAUGAUCCCGCGUUGUAUUAGCUAGUUGGUGAGGUAAAGGCUCACCAAGGCGAUGAUACAUAGCCGACCUGAGAGGGUGAUCGGCCAAAUUGGGAAGGAGACAAGGCCCAAACUCAUACGGGAGGCAGCAGUAGGGAAGCUUCGGCAAUGGACGAAAGUCUGACCGAGCAACGCCGCGUGAGUGAAGAAGGGUUUCGGAUCGUAAAACUCUGUUGGUAGAGAAGAACGUUGGUGAGAGUGGAAAGCUCAUCAAGUGACGGUAACUACCCAGAAAGGGACGGCUAACUACGUG
rnacentral:rRNA from 1 species